AACGAACGCUGGCGGCAGGCUUAACACAUGCAAGUCGAACGCAUCGCAAGAUGAGUGGCAGACGGGUGAGUAACGCGUGGGAACAUACCCUUUUCUACGGAAUAGCUCUGGGAAAAUGGAAUUAAUACCGUAUACGCCCUACGGGGGAAAGAUUUAUCGGGGAAGGAUUGGCCCGCGUUGGAUUAGCUAGUUGGUGGGGUAAAGGCCUACCAAGGCGACGAUCAAUAGCUGGUCUGAGAGGAUGAUCAGCCACAUUGGGACUGAGACACGGCCCAAACUCCUACGGGAGGCAGCAGUGGGGAAUAUUGGACAAUGGGCGCAAGCCUGAUCCAGCCAUGCCGCGUGAGUGAUGAAGGCCUUAGGGUUGUAAAGCUCUUUCACCGAUGAAGAUAAUGACGGUAGUCGGAGAAGAAGCCCCGGCUAACUUCGUGCCAGCAGCCGCCGUAACAC
rnacentral:rRNA from 1 species